UGAAUUUCUAUUGAAAACUGAAAACUAUUUUCAUAGGAUAAUGAACAAUUCAGCACACUAGAUCGGUGGGUGUGACAAUAUUAAGCCUGACCUGAUGUUGCCUUUUCCAUUCCCCUUCCACUCAGUGAGGCGUACAGCUGGUAUCAGAUCACUACAUUCCUGUUUAAAAUGCUGAUGGGACGAUGCCUUCACUGACUGUAAAUCAACUGUAAAUCAAUGCCAGUAAGGUUAGAGACGAGCCUUUGAACCUGUGAUGCAGCCGUCACUCUGAACCAACCACCUCAACAGUCUGGAAAGUUAUAGCAACGGUGUGUGUACUAGUGUAGUCCUAAAACCUGCUCAUUAUUCCUCACACUGAUGAUGAACGGAGUUCUAGAAAACCCAGCAUUCGAUUCUAUAGAAGAAGCACAUCUGAAGAUAAAGCUGGUUGUUCAUAACAAACUUAACAUAACAAGACCUUCAAAAGAGAUAGCAGAGGAAGCGGAAGGCAAUCAGAGCGUGACGGCCGGGCAGUCGGUACCAGCGUGUGUCUUUAAGAUGGAGGCAGAAUGAGUUACGCUGGAUGCGCGAGGGAGGAGAUGCCCGCGGCGCCUUCUUACUGGACUAAAGGAGGCUGGGCUGUCAGCCUGUGAUUAAUCUACCACUGUCUGUCUAAUUACCACGCGUGUGCCCCUCCGUGUUCCUCCGCCCCGCUGGGACCCCCGCUGACCCACACCGGAAACUCGCUGCUCCCAAUGCAAAUUAAAGCCCUGUAAAUAUUUGCUUUUAACUCUUGCCGACACAUUGUUUCCAAUUUUGCGCUCCAGUGGUGCGCAACCUCAACACUACUCCACACACACUCACACACACACUGAUUCGUGUGUGUGUGUGGACAUCUCUCUGUUGUCAACAGGUUUGCUGACAGCUCUUCCUCCUCCUCCUCCUCUUCCUCCUCCAUGUAUCCUCCCAUUGUGUCUGUAUUGCAGCUGGCAGUCCAUCAUCCCGUUCUGGUCUACUGUCCCAGUCUAGUGUCAAAACACAGAACUUUGCCCAGUCAAAGGAACCCAAACAGAGCUUGCAUUAGCUGACGCAGCACAACACACCCACUUUCCGAUGGAACUGUUACGGUAGAUCUGCAUUGUGGGUAAUGCAAAGAGAACAAAAAUAGACGAUAUACGUGGUUCUCCUCGAUUGGAACCGUUUGGAACAGUUUGAUAUGAGUGGGAAGUAGAGCAAUUAAACUUCAAUUUGAUCCGGAUGAAAUGGGGAAAAAACAUCAUGGAAUGUAUCUUAAGUAUGAAGUAAUUUAUAUUUCAAUCUUAUAUAAAAAUGUGUAACGCUCCACCUGAAAUCUCUGUAAUGUUACAGUUUUUGUUACACAGAGAGUUGAAUGAUAUUUUUCCUAAACCCAUUAGCUUCGACAUAAUGCCAGUUAAAGCUCCCCGUCCAUCACGGGAACGUUGUAAAAUAGUGGAGCUGUUGUCAACAUGACAUUCUCAGAAAAUAAGCUACCUUCAUUGUCAGGACAAUGUAAUGUUCCUCAAUCACAAAGUCGCUGAAAUGGUGCUGCAAGAGAGUUUAACACAUGAAUCAGCCAGUGUGUGGUCACAUGUGCAGAAUGAGGUUAGCAUGAUGCUGUAGGACAGUGAAACAAAUGACUUAUGUGUGAUAUCACACAUAAGGAGCCUUAGAAUUUGGAGGGAUUAUAAUAUGGAAUAACGCUGAAUCUCGAAAGCUUUCAUUGCUUCAGGUCACUGCUUAUGUGUUUGCCCCCCCCGGUUUUUCUAAAGAUUGAUUGGUCUGCUCUUUGCAUUCGUCUUCUUUACAUAUGCCCUCUUUAAGCUAUACGGGUUGAGCUCUGGCCCCGAUCUGAUUCCAUCUUCCCCGCGCCAGGAGGCAGACGGACGGAUGAAACAGAAAAAAGAAUAACAAUAAUAAAAGGCACUGACAGGAGCCUGAGUGAGCCCUGACCUGGCUGCCGGCUCUUGUCUAUUCGUAACCCACACACACAUCGGCAGCAGGGUGGCAAACAUACAAAAACACACACACACACGCAAGCCCCGCCCCAUCUACUGCAUUAAAGUGGCAUCAGCGGAGAUGAAAAGGGCCUUUUCUGUUCCACCACUCAACUUCCACUCUAGCAUGCCCUCCCAAAUGACUGCGAUCAACACAUCUAACUCGGGUCCCACGGAUAAAAGCACUCACGGGGCACCGUGGAUACAGAGAAACUCCAAUUUUUGCUAAACGCGCAAAAGCCGACAAAUACGACCGAAAAUGCUACAAAGGACACAUUAACGCUUAAACAUCAAUUUGUAUGUCCCAGUCUCGGUGUGCUACUUAGCCACUGGGAAAACAAAUGAGCCGUGCCCAAUCGGAUGCUGCCAGACCUUGAGAGCCUCGAGGUGAAAAUGAGCGGAAUGGAUUGGGGUGAGCGCGGUUGAGCCGGCUCCUGCCUGCACGCUGACGUGCUAAAAACACGCCGCCGUAUACGUGGCGGCUUGUUUAUCGGUUCACUUGCGUGGAGUCACGUGACCCCCCCGCUUUGAUUUGUCUUCAUCUGUUUUCUUCCUUCAGACCCUCACAGUCAUUUUAAAGGC
ensembl:lncRNA